GCGGUCGUACUGUAAAAGCUUAUAGUAUGUAAAAAUUAGUUAGAACAUAUAAUAUGUUCAUAAGUCUUGGUGUAUGUUUAGUAUGGAACCUUGAGAGGAGAUUAGAGCCUAAAGAAGAAAAUCUUAACUAAUAGGAGGCUUAUUGGAAGGGAUCAAAGCAAAGUAUGGUUGGAUGAAGGCAAAGAAUAUGAAACUUCAUUCCUAUUGGUCGAAGGCCAUACCCAAUGGGCUUCAAGGAGGCUGCUUGAGGCCUUAUUAGGGAUUAGGGUUUCUCUUUCGAAUUCAUUCGAGCUUUGGAAGCUAGAGUCAGCAAGUUCAAGAUUUUGGAUAUAAUUUGGGUGAAGAUUUUGUGUGAUUUCAAGUUUUUUUGAAGGAGAUAUAGGUGUUCAAAGUUAAGGUAUCAAAUUUGUAUCUGCUGUCACUCUUUGAAGCAUAACAUAUGCGUACAGAGAGCAAAGAAAGAUUGGUGAGUGGAGUUGGAGAAGACACUUUUUUGGCU
rnacentral:lncRNA from 1 species